AUGUCACGGACCAGUGCUGCCUCCUCCAGCUCUACGGCACCCCUUACCACUGAUUUGGAAGCUUCUGAACGCACAGAAAAAAGUGUGACUGCACAAACAGCCUCCCACUCCUCUCUCUCUUCUUCCCCCGAGAAUCAGACGCAGGAGGGCGAACUCGCCAUAAUUGCACGUGGCGGCGCUGCUGGUGGGACACCUGGAGAUAAACAGUCUUUUUCCUGGAGAAGCCAGCGAAGCACAGACCGGCUCAAUUACCAUCUGACUUCCACCGCCACCUCCGACCUCCUAAAAUCCUCCGCCGCACCUCCACACUCAAGCAGUGCAAACGCUGACACCGAACCCACUUCAUCAUUAUCCUCACCCACCGCCCACAUCCCACAGCGCAGCCCUGCUGUUGGUGCUGCGGAGGCUGCUGCAGGUCAUCCACGCGCAAACCGCAGUGACUCACUUGCAUCCUCUGCGUCUGCUGUUGCUCAUCCAACUACAGAUGAAUUUAAAGGCAAAUACAUGCAGCAAACCCUUACCCCUUUUGGUGCCACGAGCUCUCCUGAAAGCACUGAUGGUCUGGUUUUUAGGUCGGCACAAAGAGAGGAGAAAGACACACAGACAGAAAGUCCUGAAAAAAUGUCAGUUUUUCCACAUGUGACCACAGAAAUAACCUCCACUCUGCCUGGUGGUAUGAAGGAUGGACAGACUUCUGCUUUUACUGGCUCUUUAUCUGUAACCAGAGCAGCACAAGCGACAAAAGUCCAGAACUUGACUUCAGCAGAGACCACAGGAGAGCAGCACAAACAGCCUUCUACUUACACUGUGUUGCAUGACAGUUCGCCCACAGGUUGGUUGCUGUCCAGCUUGACCACAGACUCCUCCACACCUCCCUACACACUCCAACCACACUCUGAGCUUUCUGUCGACAAUCAGAUAGCUGUCAUCUCCUCUGUGAGUGAAUCCUACAUCCACACAAUCCACCAGAGACCUUCACCAUCAGGUUCUCACAGCCGCCAGCUUCUCCCUACUCCCACUAGCAUCUCUCCUACGUUUGAACUAACCCAGCGUGUCGCUGCUUCUGCUCACACCACUGCUGCCUCACCUGCAGGAUCAGACAAAGAGGAAGAGGGUGAGUUUAGGUCAUGGUCUCCCACAGCUCAUCCGCUGAGCCGUUUCACGCACACAGCCUCUGCUGGGACCUCCACACCCACACAGAACUCCACCAGCAGUCCAAUGUUCUUCAUUGUGCCCAACCAGCCAGCAGCCAUCAGAGGUAAAAUGCAUACUAACUUGUAG
rnacentral:lncRNA from 1 species